AUUGAACGCUGGCGGCAGGCCUAACACAUGCAAGUCGGACGGUAGCACAGAGAGCUUGCUCUCGGGUGACGAGUGGCGGACGGGUGAGUAAUGUCUGGGGAUCUGCCCGAUAGAGGGGGAUAACCACUGGAAACGGUGGCUAAUACCGCAUAACGUCGCAAGACCAAAGAGGGGGACCUUCGGGCCUCUCACUAUCGGAUGAACCCAGAUGGGAUUAGCUAGUAGGCGGGGUAACGGCCCACCUAGGCGACGAUCCCUAGCUGGUCUGAGAGGAUGACCAGCCACACUGGAACUGAGACACGGUCCAGACUCCUACGGGAGGCAGCAGUGGGGAAUAUUGCACAAUGGGCGCAAGCCUGAUGCAGCCAUGCCGCGUGUAUGAAGAAGGCCUUCGGGUUGUAAAGUACUUUCAGCGGGGAGGAAGGCGAUGUGGUUAAUAACCGCAUUGAUUGACGUUACCCGCAGAAGAAGCACCGGCUAACUCCGUGCCAGCCGCCGCCGUAA
rnacentral:rRNA from 1 species